AUCUUCCACAAUGGACGAAAGUCUGAUGGAGCAACGCCGCGUGAGCGAAGAAGGUUUNNNGAUCGNACAGCUCCGUUGCGAGGNAAANACAAGUACGGGAGUAACUGCCCGUACCUUGACGGUACCCCGUCAGAAAGCCACGGCUAACUACGUGCCAGCAGCCGCGGUAAUACGUAGGUGGCAAGCGUUGUCCGGAAUUAUUGGGCGUGAAGCGCGCGCAGGCGGUCCUUUAAGUCUGAUGUGAAAGCCCACGGCUCAACCGUGGAGGGUCAUUGGAAACUGGAGGACUUGAGUACAGAAGAGGAAAGCGGAAUUCCACGUGUAGCGGUGAAAUGCGUAGAGAUGUGGAGGAACACCAGUGGCGAAGGCGGCUUUCUGGUCUGUAACUGACGCUGAGGCGCGAAAGCGUGGGGAGCAAACA
rnacentral:rRNA from 1 species